GACGAACGCUGGCGGCGUGCUUAACACAUGCCAGUCGAACGAUGAUCUCCCGCUUGCGGGGGUGAUUAGUGGCGAACGGGUGAGUAAUACGUGAGUAACCUGCCCUUGACUCUGGGAUAAGCCUGGGAAACCGGGUCUAAUACUGGAUACUACUUCCUGCCGCAUGGUGGGGGGUGGAAAGGGUUUUACUGGUUUUGGAUGGGCUCACGGCCUAUCAGCUUGUUGGUGGAGUAAUGGCUCACCAAGGCGACGACGGGUAGCCGGCCUGAGAGGGUGACCGGCCACACUGGGACUGAGACACGGCCCAGACUCCUACGGGAGGCAGCAGUGGGGAAUAUUGCACAAUGGGCGGAAGCCUGAUGCAGCGACGCCGCGUGAGGGAUGACGGCCUUCGGGUUGGAAACCUCUUUCAGCAGGGAAGAAGCCACAAGUGACGGUACCUGCAGAAGAAGCGCCGGCUAACUACGUG
rnacentral:rRNA from 1 species